CCUACGGGCGGCUGCAGUGGGGAAUAUUGCACAAUGGGGGAAACCCUGAUGCAGCGACGCCGCGUGAGCGAAGAAGUAUUUCGGUAUGUAAAGCUCUAUCAGCAGGGAAGAAAAUGACGGUACCUGACUAAGAAGCACCGGCUAAAUACGUGCCAGCAGCCGCGGUAAUACGUAUGGUGCAAGCGUUAUCCGGAUUUACUGGGUGUAAAGGGAGCGUAGACGGCUGUGUAAGUCUGAAGUGAAAGCCCGGGGCUCAACCCCGGGACUGCAUUGGAAACUGCCCGUCUUGAGUGCCGGAGAGGUAAGCGGAAUUCCUAGUGUAGCGGUGAAAUGCGUAGAUAUUAGGAGGAACACCAGUGGCGAAGGCGGCUUACUGGACGGUAACUGACGUUGAGGCUCGAAAGCGUGGGGAGCAAACAGGAUU
rnacentral:rRNA from 1 species